AGUAGUGAAGACUGUGAUCUUAAAAAAACUAGUCUAGGGCUUCCCCACGCGAUUACAACACAAGAUGUCACGGAUGUGACGCGAUGCCAGUUAGUGCCAACACAUAUACAGGCGGUAGUCCAUAGUGGCACCUCCAGUUACAUUCAAGUGGGCUUCGUCGGUGGGACCGUCUCCCUGAUCAGCCACACCCCUAGCAACACUGUGCGAGUGAUCUGAUUCCUCAUUUUGGUCGCACACUUCUUGACGCUAGCAGACUAAGGAUAUUCCACUUAACCACUUCAUCUUGUAUUACUCUUCGUGGUCCAGCUAGUGAAAGAAUCAUGCUUAUCAACUGCACGCAUCCUGAUGAUAUGCAAGUGCUGGUGGGAAGGAGCCUUGGCAUUGGGGUGACAGUCGGUUUUGUGUGUGGAGGAAUCCUCGUUUCCCUUUUCUUCAUUGCAUAUCGGUCCAGCUACAUACGAAACUUGAUUUUCAAAAGGAUUGCUAAGAAGAAGAAACCUGAGUCUAUUGGAAGCAAAAAUAAAAACAUGGUCGCCUCGCAUACCUCUAAUCAGCCAGAGCAAGAAACACAACGCUAUCUGACAGGUAAAGACGUCAAAGCAAGUAAGAAAAAGCUUCCUGAGAGAGCAAGAUUCCAAAACAAGAACCAACAUGAGGAAGAUAUCACCAAUCUAUCACAAAACGAUUUCCAGAAUGCUAACCAUUCUUCGUAUGAACAUUGCAAUGAGAUCAGUCCACAUUAUCAAAACAACCACGGUCAACCAACAUACGCAAAUAUAACAGAAAUAUCCAACUAUGAAAAUGAGUACGAUUAUGUUACGCCUUCCACUAUCCAGGGAUGGCAUUCUAGCGAAUCUCAGCCCGAUGAGGAUUAUGUACAGAUGAAAUUGCCUGAUCACUCACAGUGGUACAAUCGUGGACAAGUAUGAGGGGUGUCAGCUCUGGAAAUGAUUGCCCACUGUUUACUAAGGGUUCAGUACAGGCUGUCCCUUGUGCCGGCCCUCCAAUUUCUCCCGUGAUUCGAAUAACAUUCAGAUGUUGUUUCGUCUUAUUUAUGGAAUAACUUUAGAGCAAAAUAUUUUGUUUCAUUCCAUAUUAAAUGGAAAAUGUGAUGAGAAGCGGUAACAACAUUACAUCAUAUGAAGUAAGAAUGAGCUAAAAAACCGAUUUCAAUUGUUCCACAUUUUUGUGUAUCUCCCUUUUCCCUUCGGUCAAAUCAGACUCGAUGAUAUUUUAGUUCAUGCUCUUGUCUUACUCCCUUCUUAGGCUUCCUUCCCGCUUCCCCGAUCCUCGUCAUCGUCUGUCUCCUCUUUCUCCUUUCCCUCUACCUGAAUACUUUACUUUCCGCAAUCCUCAUUCCUCGCCUCAUUUCAGAGAUCGUGCUCUUAUAGUCAGUGCUACACACAUCAAUAUUUUCAAAUCAUACAUCGGGGAUCAUAUUCUCAAACUAGCGAAAGCCACUGCGAUUUUCGAAUGUUUUCAUGAUUUUAAUGAUAGUUUAACAAUUGUCCUGCAUACUAAUAGAAAAAUAGAGGUGAGAACACAACUAAUAAUCUCGAUUUUUUUUUUACGUAGCCUUUAUAAGAACACAAAGCGUUGAAAAAUAUGUGGUUAGACCAACGUUCUAGUCCUCUCCCUCACAUCUGUCAGUGAUGCAGGCGACGGGUUUUUGACUGCUGAGGAAAUUGAGGGAAGUAGAGUUAUUAACACAUGUCAGUGAAUAACAACUGUUGCUUAAACAAAUGUAUCCAGAGUAGCAAUGUAUUAGCUUCCCUCUUCAUUUUACUGAUUUAUUCUCUCUCUCUCUCUCUCUCUCUCUCUCUCUCUCUCUCUCUCUCUCUCUCUCUCUCUCUCUCUCUCUCUCUCUUUCAACGAUUACUCUUGCUGUUGUGAUGGAUUUCUAAAAUGAUUGAAAUAGUAUUAUAUAGGAAAAUUGAUAUAAAGAUUUUUGUUGGUUAUUGUGUUAUCAUAAUAAAUGCUAUUGUGGGGAUUCAUGUCACUGCAUCGACACUACAUUAGUUGUGCAAGAUUCAGUUAAUUAUUGUACACCAGAAAAUAAAUAAAUCUUAUCAUGUCUAGGUGACAAUUAUAAGGUGAUAAGAUUGUUACAUGAAAUCCAUUGUAAUUUAGAGAAUGGAUGAAAUAAAUAUGAUUUAUUAUUA